UAAUCUGUCUGGAAAAAAUCCUCAUCUUAUUAUAGCAUACCCACAACUGUCUGCUCAGAAUCAUUCAUUAUUGCAAGUCCAACUACAUCAUUGAGAUUGACAAAUAAAGGAUAACUACUUUGUCAACAAUAA
rnacentral:pre_miRNA from 13 species